CCACUUCGGUGCCAAUGUGAAGUUUGUUCAUUUUCUCCCUUUUAACGUAGAUAAAGAAACUUGUAAAUUCAAGGUUCAAAAGGGUAUGAAGAGUAAUAGCAUACAUACAUCGAUGGCAAGUAACUUAUUAUAUGAAAUUAAAUGGUAAGUAACUUUUUAUAUUAUAUUAAAUUAAAUUACAUCGACAGUGUAAAAACUUUUAUAUUAUCAACUUAUAAAAGUUAAAUCCAUUCUAAGACGGUAAAAAACUUUUGAAUUAAACUACUUA
rnacentral:lncRNA from 1 species